rnacentral:rRNA from 1 species
CUACGGGUUGCUGCAGUGAGGAAUAUUGGGCAAUGGGCGCAAGCCUGACCCAGCCAUGCCGCGUGAAGGAUGAAUGCCCUAUGGGUUGUAAACUUCUUUUGUACGGGACGAAACUCUUGGUAGUGACCAGGAUUGACUGUACCGUGCGAAUAAGCAUCGGCUAACUCCGUGCCAGCAGCCGCGGUAAUACGGAGGAUGCAAGCGUUAUCCGGAUUCAUUGGGUUUAAAGGGUGCGUAGGCGGAAUAAUAAGUCAGUGGUGAAAGCCUGCGGCUUAACCGUAGAAUUGCCAUUGAUACUGUUAUUCUUGAGUAUAGUUGAAGUGGGCGGAAUGUGUAAUGUAGCGGUGAAAUGCUUAGAUAUUACACAGAACACCAAUUGCGAAGGCAGCUCACUAAGCUGUUACUGACGCUGAGGCACGAAAGCGUGGGGAGCAAACAGGAUUAGAUACCCCGGUAGUC